UGAGCAAACCUGACCCUUAGCUCUGGGAAUAAACCCCGGGGAAAACCGGGGCUAAUACCGGAUACGAGUCCGCGCGGCAUCACACGGACUGGAAAGUUUUUCGGCUAAGGAUGGGCUCGCGGCCUAUCAGCUUGUUGGUGGGGUAAUGGCCUACCAAGGCGACGACGGGUGGCCGGCCUGAGAGGGUGACCGGCCACACUGGGACUGAGACACGGCCCAGACUCCUACGGGAGGCA
rnacentral:rRNA from 1 species